AACUUCUUGAAUGUAUUUUGGAAAUUACUACGAAUCUAGGUACAAGCUCAUGAGUAGCUUCAUUACUGGAAUAUUCAGCAUUGUUUUUUCCUGAUUUUGGUACAGGGCACUUUUUCGUAUUAACCCAGACCAUGGAAGCAAGGCUAAGAAAAAAGCAAGGAAAGAUAAUCCAAAAGUCUUCAGUUUUACAAAAAAAAAAUCGUGGAUUCUGAAUGGAAUGUUUCGAUUUUUGAAGACUUGAAAAAGUACAAGGCGGAUCAAACUGUUACAAAGAGAUUAUGAUAGUUAUUUCUUUUGCCUGGAAUGGACAUAUGCCAAAUGCAGAAUCCAGGUGCGU
rnacentral:lncRNA from 1 species